CCUACGGGAGGUAGCAGUGGGGAAUAUUGGGCAAUGGGCGCAAGCCUGACCCAGCAACGCCGCGUGAAGGAAGAAGGCUUUCGGGUUGUCAACUUCUUUUAAGAGGGAGGAGCAGAAGACGGUACCUCUUGAAUAAGCCACGGCUAACUACGUGCCAGCAGCCGCGGUAAUACGUAGGUGGCAAGCGGUGUCCGGAUGUACUGGGUGUAAAGGGCGUGCAGCCGGGAAGACAAGUCAGAUGUGAAAUCCCGCGGCUCAACCGCGGAACUGCCUUUGAAACUGUUUUUCUAGAGUACCGGAGAGGUAAUCGGAAUGCCUGGUGUAGCGGUGAAAUGCGUAGAGAUAAGGAAGAACACCAGUGGCGAAGGCGGAUUACUGGACGGCAACUGACGGUGAGGCGCGAAAGCGUGGGGAGCAAACAGGAUUAGAUACCCCAGUAGUC
rnacentral:rRNA from 1 species